rnacentral:rRNA from 1 species
GACGUAGGAGGCGAGCGUUGUCCGGAUUCAUUGGGCGUAAAGCGCACGUAGGCGGACUCUUAAGUCGGUGGUGAAAUCCUGGAGCUCAACUCCAGAACUGCCUUCGAUACUGGGAGUCUCGAGUCCGGGAGAGGUGAGUGGAACUGCGAGUGUAGAGGUGAAAUUCGUAGAUAUUCGCAAGAACACCAGUGGCGAAGGCGGCUCACUGGCCCGGUACUGACGCUGAGGUGCGAAAGCGUGGGGAGCAAACAGG